UACGGAGGGUGCAAGCGUUGUUCGGAAUCACUGGGCGUAAAGGGCGUGUAGGCGGUCUAUCAAGUCUGGUGUGAAAUCCCCUCGCUCAACGAGGGAACUGCGCCGGAAACUGACAGACUAGAGUACCGGAGAGGAAGGUGGAAUUCCCGGUGUAGCGGUGAAAUGCGUAGAUAUCAGGAGGAACACCGGUGGCGAAGGCGGGUCUCUGGGCCGAUACUGACGCUGAGGAGCGAAAGCGUGGGGAGCGAACAGG
rnacentral:rRNA from 1 species